AUUAUACCUUUGAUUUAAGUCCUUUAACUAAAGAAUAUAUACAGUAUCAGUGCAGGCUUCCGCACACUCUCCUGCCAAUGUGCCUCAGCCCUGACAUGGGAUCACCAGCUCUAAAGGUGAAGAGGGCAUUUUGUUCUCCAUGGAGUUCAAUUCUUGGCUUCU
rnacentral:sRNA from 1 species